AGGUCAGUAGCUCCAAUUGGCAGAGCUCCGGACUCCAAAUCCGGCUGUUGGGGGUUCGACUCCCUCCUGACCUGCCA
rnacentral:tRNA from 2 species